rnacentral:rRNA from 1 species
AUUGAACGCUGGCGGCAGGCCUAACACAUGCAAGUCGAACGGUAACAGGAAGAAGCUUGCUUCUUUGCUGACGAGUGGCGGACGGGUGAGUAAUGUCUGGGAAACUGCCUGAUGGAGGGGGAUAACUACUGGAAACGGUAGCUAAUACCGCAUAACGUCGCAAGCCCAAAGAGGGGGACCUUCGGGCCUCUUGCCAUCGGAUGUGCCCAGAUGGGAUUAGCUAGUAGGUGGGGUAACGGCUCACCUAGGCGACGAUCCCUAGCUGGUCUGAGAGGAUGACCAGCCACACUGGAACUGAGACACGGUCCAGACUCCUACGGGAGGCAGCAGUGGGGAAUAUUGCACAAUGGGCGCAAGCCUGAUGCAGCCAUGCCGCGUGUAUGAAGAAGGCCUUCGGGUUGUAAAGUACUUUCAGCGGGGAGGAAGGGAGUAAAGUUAAUACCUUUGCUCAUUGACGUUACCCGCAGAAGAAGCACCGGCUAACUCCGUG